UGGUGGAGUGAUUUUGUCUGGUUAAUUCCGAUAACGAACGAGACUCUGUCCUGCUAACUAGGUUGUGUUUUCUCGGGUUGGUGUUUCUGGUGUUCCUUCUCGGGGCGCCGGCCCAAUCCACUUGUGAACACAACACUCUUCUUAGAGGGACUGGCGGCUGUUAGCCGCACGAGAUAGAGCAAUAACA
rnacentral:rRNA from 1 species